GGCACCGGCACCCGCCCGGACCCUCCCCGGAGAUCAACGGCAGGUCCCCGAGGCGACGCUGGACUGUUCCCGGGCCAGGGAGAUGUCAUGAGUGGAUCCAACCCUGUCCCUGACAGAGGUCUCUGAAGAACAGGGGAUUCAGGGUGCCAGGAAAGCCCCGGGACAGACGGGAGCGCGAGCGGUGCCGGAGGGACACGAGUGGGAGCAGGGACAGGGCUGCAGGCAAGCUGUGCUGAAGCCAGGAAUGGACUGACAGAGGAAUCCCCAGGGCCUCAGCAGGAUGCAUUAACAGUGUGUCUCUCUGGUGAGCCGUGAUGGGAAGAGCACGGAGCAAAAAAGAAGGGAGAACACGAAGAGCAGGUCUCUCGAAGGAUCCAGGCUGACAGCAAUAUUGCCAUCUGAGUGAAGAGAACUCAGACACACAUAAUCCUCGGGAAAAUUCAUCUCCACCCUCCCGCAGACCCCGGUGAGAGCCCUUGAAGUGGUAAUUAAAGUCUAUUGAGUGGCAACUGCACCUGUUUAGAGAGGAGAGCGCGGGUAAGAGGUGCACAAAGGGAGAUGAGCAGCACGGGGAGAGGAGCUGCUGGAGGUGGGGAGGAAGGGAGGUGGAAAGAAGGGAUGAAAAAAAGAAAAAAGUGUUUGUUGGUUUGCUGAAGUCGAUCCGAGCCGAUGUGCAUUUCCAUCCUGCCCUUGAUUUGCUCCCUGUGCCCCCUCAGCUCUCACCAGGCUCCCUCCCCGCUCUCACACCCGCUGAUGGAAACUCCAGGGGGUUUUCCCCGCCAGCCCCGGCUCUGGUGGUGUAAAUCAGCAGAGUUCCACCAAAGUCCUCGAGGACUCAGAGCAGCCCCAGCUCAUUCACACCAGUGGCUGCAGACCCGUCCCAGGGAGGCUCAUUAGCAGCCCCCCGGCUCCUGGGCUGGCACAGGGAUGUGCCAGCGCUUGUCCCUCUGCCCUGGGAGAGAGCACAUCCCUCUGUGACAGCCUGAGCCCCCCACUGCAAACCCUACAGCAGCCAGGGCAGGGAAUCAGAGGUGUUUCUGGCUUUCUGGCUGAGAGCAGAGGGAGGUGGAAGGGGCUGGAGUGGGGCAAUGCCACGUUCCACACCUGCUGGGAUUCCUACAUCUGUGGCUCCCAAAUGUUCUGAGCCAGCGUCACCUCAGCAUUCCCAAGGUCUGCAGGUGAAGCCAAGCAAAAUGGAUUUAUUCAUAAAUUUUUGUUCGUGGAUUUUUCCAAGGGCCUGGAAGGACAGGACAAGGAGGAAUGGCUUCCUACUGCCAGAGGGCAGGGUUAGA